CGUGUAGGCGGAUUUUUAAGUCAGGUGUGAAAUCUUUGGGCUUAACCCAGAGUUUGCAUUUGAUACUGGGGAUCUUGAGUGCAGGAGAGGACAGUGGAAUUCCUAGUGUAGCGGUGAAAUGCGUAGAUAUUAGGAGGAACACCAGUGGCGAAGGCGACUGUCUGGACUGUAACUGACGCUGAGGCGCGAAAGCGUGGGGAGCAAACA
rnacentral:rRNA from 1 species